rnacentral:rRNA from 1 species
UACGAAGGGGGCGAGCGUUGUUCGGAUUUACUGGGCGUAAAGGGCGCGUAGGCGGCGGGUCAAGUCGAGUGUGAAAGCCCCGGGCUCAACCUGGGAAUUGCGCUCGAGACUGGUCUGCUUGAGUUCGGGAGAGGAGAGUGGAAUUCCCAGUGUAGAGGUGAAAUUCGUAGAUAUUGGGAAGAACACCGGUGGCGAAGGCGGCUCUCUGGACCGAGACUGACGCUGAGGCGGCGAAAGCGUGGGGAGCCAAACAGGG